UACGGGAGGCAGCAGUAGGGAAUCUUCCGCAAUGGACGAAAGUCUGACGGAGCAAUGCCGCGUGAGUGAAGAAGGUUUUCGGAUCGUAAAACUCUGUUGUUAGAGAAGAACAAGGAUGAGAGUAACUGCUCAUCCCCUGACGGUAUCUAACCAGAAAGCCACGGCUAACUACGUGCCAGCAGCCGCGGUAAUA
rnacentral:rRNA from 1 species